GGUGCUGUAGCCUAGUGGUUUAGGCGAUAGACUAGAAAUCUUUUGGGAUAUUCCCGAGCAGGUUCGAAUCCUGCCGACGACG
rnacentral:tRNA from 1 species